ACCAUUGUAGCCAUUUUGCAUGCAGUAGGCUAGGCUAAGGUAAGUAGCGAUAGUUCAUUUUAAGUUUACUUAAGUGGAAGAAUGUGACUAAUAAACCUAGGCCUACUAGCACUAGGAAUUACAUUUUGAACAUGAAGUAGAUUAUAUUAAUAUCAAAAUCUUAAAUUUUCUUUGGACUCGAUCAUAAAUACAUGUCUGACCUUUGGAACGAACCAAAAAAACUAGAAAAUCGCAUGAGAUUUUGACGAUUUAUGGUGAUUUUAUUUCCGUUAGACCUUUGCCUACAUUGACGCUGAUGAUUAAGGACGGGCCA